UACGUAGGGUGCGAGCGUUAAUCGGAAUUACUGGGCGUAAAGCGUGCGCAGGCGGUUUUGUAAGUCAGAUGUGAAAUCCCCGGGCUCAACCUGGGAACUGCGUUUGAAACUACAAGGCUAGAGUGUAGCAGAGGGGGGUAGAAUUCCACGUGUAGCAGUGAAAUGCGCAGAUAUCGGGAAGAACACCCGUGGCGAAGGCGGCUCUCUGGGACGGUACUGGACGCGUGAGACGCGAAAGCGUGGGGAGCGAAC
rnacentral:rRNA from 1 species